rnacentral:rRNA from 1 species
AAGGAACGCUGGCAGCGUGCAUAACACAUGCAAGUCGAACGAUGAAGCAUUCUUCGGAAUGUGGAAGAGUGGCGAACGGGUGAGGAACACGUAAGAAUCUGCCCCUCGGUCGGGGACAACUUUUGGAAACGAAAGCUAAUACCCGAUACGCUGUGGAGUGAAAGAAUUUCGCCGAGGGAUGAUCUUGCGUCUGAUUAGCUAGUUGGUGCGGUAAUGGCGCACCAAGGCAACGAUCAGUAGCUGGUCUGAGAGGAUGAACAGCCACAUUGGAACUGAGACACGGUCCAAACUCCUACGGGAGGCAGCAGUGGGGAAUUUUCCGCAAUGGACGAAAGUCUGACGGAGCGACGCUGCGUGAAGGAUGACGGCCUGCGGGUUGUAAACUUCUUUUCUCGAAGAAGAAGCUCUGACGGUAUUCGAGGAAUAAGCAUCGGCUAACUCCGUGCCAGCAGCCGCGGUAAGACGGAGGAUGCAAGUGUUAUUCGGAAUGAUUGGGCGUAAAGCGUCUGUAGGCUGUAUAGAAAGUCUUUUGUUAAAUACCUCGGCUCAACCGAGAUCCAGCAAAGGAAACUUCUAUACUUGAGGUAAGUAGAGGUACAGGGAAUUCCCGGUGGAGCGGUGAAAUGCGUAGAUAUCGGGAGGAACACCAAUAUGGCGAAGGCACUGUACUGGGCUUUACCUGACGCUCAGAGACGAAAGCUAAAGGAGUGAUUAGGAUUAGAUACCCUAGUAAUUUUAGCCGUANACGAUGAANACUCACUGCCGAGCGAAAUACAACGAGCGGUGGUCAAGCUAACGCGUGAAGUUUUCCGCCUGGGGAUUACGCUUGCAAAAGUGAAACUCANAGGAAUUGACGGGGACCCGCACAAGCGGUGGAGUAUGUGGUUUAAUUCGAUGCAACACGAAGAACCUUACCAGGGUUUGAAAUCAUUUCAAAACUCCUUGAAAGAGGAGCCUCCUUCGGGAUGAAAUGACAGGUGGUGCAUGGCUGUCGUCAGCUCGUGUUGUGAAAUGUCGAGUUAAGUCUCGUAACGAGCGCAACCCAUGUCUCUAGUUGCUCAUUGAGUGCUUAANNNNNNCUGCCGACCAACAU